CUUCAUCACAGCAGGAGCCGUGAGGCAAGAAGCUCUGGGAUCAAUUAAAAUACCAGGCUUUUCCAGGCUGGUUUCCAGCGCAUCUGUGCAUGAUUCCACAUAAAUUUAGGGAAUUAGAGAUCAGACAAAGAAGAAGUAAAAAGAUGAAAGCCCCCAGGCACCUAUAAAUUAAGGGGAACAAAGAUGGAACUGUGGUGAGAAGUGUGUGAGACAGAAGACUCUGGAGGAAUCAGAAAAGGAGGAUUCAAAAAUUGUAAGACAGCUGUUGAUGUCCCACUUACCAGUUAGGAGGAUCGAGAAGAAGCUGCUUUCCAGGAAAUCCCAGUCAACUUCCAAAUAGAUCUCUUUGGUCAAAAAUGUGUCACAGCUCCAACUCUUUUUUUGUAAGAUGGUGAACACAGGCAGGGGCCACAUCUGACUUAUCUCUAGCUCCAGGUACUAAAGAGCCACUGGGGAGAUCUCAGUCAUGUAAUCCAAUACUAUCUAA